rnacentral:rRNA from 1 species
CCCAGACUCCUACGGGAGGCGGCAGUGGGGAAUAUUGCACAAUGGGGGGAACCCUGAUGCAGCGACGCCGCGUGGGUGAAGGAGCACCUCGGUGCGUAAAGCCCUAUCGGCAGGGAAGAAACAGACGGUACCUGACUAAGAAGCCCCGGCUAACUACGUGCCAGCAGCCGCGGUAAUACGUAGGGGGCAAGCGUUAUCCGGAUUCACUGGGUGUAAAGGGAGCGUAGACGGCGACGCAAGUCUGGAGUGAAAGCCCGGGGCCCAACCCCGGGACUGCUCUGGAAACUGCGUCGCUGGAGCACGGGAGGGGCAGGCGGAAUUCCUGGUGUAGCGGUGAAAUGCGUAGAUAUCAGGAGGAACACCGGCGGCGAAGGCGGCCUGCUGGACCGUGACUGACGUUGAGGCUCGAGAGCGUGGGGAGCAAACAGGAUUAGAUACCCGAGUA